rnacentral:rRNA from 1 species
GUGCCUAAGUGAAGAUGUUAAGCUCGCCGCCUGGGAAGUACGGCCGCAAGACUGAAACUUAAAGGAAUUGGCGGGGGCUCACUACAAGGGGUGCGGCGUGCGGUUUAAUCUAACUCAACGCAGAGAAUCUCACCAGCAGCGACGGCAGAAUGAAAGUCAGUCUAAAGGGCUUACUUAACGAGCCGAGAGGUAGUGCAUGGCCGUCGUCAGCUCGUGCCGUAAGGUGUCCUCUUAAGUGAGGUAACGAGCGAGACCCAUACCCAUAAUUGCUAGCAGGCUUUUCGAAGUGACUGAGCACCUUAUGGGGACUGCCUUGGAAACAAGGAGGAAGGUGUGGGCCACGGUAGGUCUGUACGCUCCGAAUCUGCUGGGCUACACGCGCGCAACAAUGGCGAGGACAAUGGGAUGCAACGCUGAAAAGCGAAGCUAAACCUCGAAACCUCGUCCUAGUUUGGAUUGAGGGUUGUAACUCACCCUCAUGACAACGGAAUCCCUAGUAAUCGGGCUUCAUCACGGCCCGGUGAAUAUGUCCCUGCUCUUUGCACACACCGCCCGUCAAACCAACCGAGCAGUGUUCAGGUGAGCUGCGAUUCUUUGAUCGCAUCGAACCUAAGCUCAGUGAGGUGGGUUAAGUCGUCACAAGGUAGCCGUAGGGGAACCUGCGGCUG